rnacentral:rRNA from 1 species
CCUACGGGAGGCAGCAGUAGGGAAUCUUUCACAAUGGGCGAAAGCCUGAUGGAGCAACGCCGCGUGCAGGAUGAAGGCCUUCGGGUUGUAAACUGCUUUUAUAAGCGAGAAAUAUGAUGGUAACUUAUGAAUAAGGAUCGGCUAACUACGUGCCAGCAGCCGCGGUCAUACGUAGGAUCCGAGCAUUAUCCGGAGUCACUGGGUGUAAAGAGUUGCGUAGGUGGCAUAAUAAGUAGCUAGUGAAAUCUGGUGGCUCAACCAUUCAGACUAUUAGCUAAACUGUUAAGCUCGAGAACGUUAGGGGUAACUGGAAUUUCUAGUGUAGGAGUGAAAUCCGUAGAUAUUAGAAGGAACACCAAUAGCGUAGGCAGGUUACUGGGACGGUUCUGACACUAAGGCACGAAAGCGUAGGGAGCAAACGGGAUUAGAUACCCGGGUAGUC